rnacentral:rRNA from 1 species
GAUGAACGCUAGCUACAGGCUUAACACAUGCAAGUCGAGGGGUAACGAGAGGAAAGCUUGCUUUCCUUGUCGACGACCGGCGCACGGGUGAGUAACGCGUAUCCAACCUGCCCCCAACUAGGGAAUAACCUUGCGAAAGUAAGACUAAUACCCUAUAAUUUCCUCAGAUGUCAUCUGACGAGGAAUUAAGAUUUAUCGGAUGUGGAUGGGGAUGCGUCUGAUUACCUUGUUGGCGGGGUAACGGCCCACCAAGGCAACGAUCAGUAGGGGUUCUGAGAGGAAGGUCCCCCACAUUGGAACUGAGACACGGUCCAAACUCCUACGGGAGGCAGCAGUGAGGAAUAUUGGUCAAUGGGCGGAAGCCUGAACCAGCCAAGUAGCGUGCAGGAUGACGGCCCUAUGGGUUGUAAACUGCUUUUAUACAGGAAUAAAGUUAGCCACGUGUGGUUAUUUGUAGGUACUGUAUGAAUAAGGACCGGCUAAUUCCGUGCCAGCCGCCGCCGUAA